UAGGCCGGUCAUAGUCCCCGGGGCACACCCGAACUCGGCUGAACUCGGAAGUUAAGCCCGGGGUCGUUGCGGGACAUGUGCGCGCUAGCGCGCGUGACAGGCCCGCAAACUGGCCAUU
rnacentral:rRNA from 1 species